rnacentral:rRNA from 1 species
AUUGAACGCUGGCGGCAGGCCUAACACAUGCAAGUCGAGCGGAUGAAGGGAGCUUGCUCCUGGAUUCAGCGGCGGACGGGUGAGUAAUGCCUAGGAAUCUGCCUGGUAGUGGGGGAUAACGUCCGGAAACGGGCGCUAAUACCGCAUACGUCCUGAGGGAGAAAGUGGGGGAUCUUCGGACCUCACGCUAUCAGAUGAGCCUAGGUCGGAUUAGCUAGUUGGUGGGGUAAAGGCCUACCAAGGCGACGAUCCGUAACUGGUCUGAGAGGAUGAUCAGUCACACUGGAACUGAGACACGGUCCAGACUCCUACGGGAGGCAGCAGUGGGGAAUAUUGGACAAUGGGCGAAAGCCUGAUCCAGCCAUGCCACGUGUGUGAAGAAGGUCUUCGGAUUGUAAAGCACUUUAAGUUGGGAGGAAGGGCAGUAAGUUAAUACCUUACUGUUUUGACGUUACCAACAGAAUAAGCACCGGCUAACUUCGUG